rnacentral:rRNA from 1 species
AUUGAACGCUGGCGGCAUGCCUUACACAUGCAAGUCGAACGGUAACAGGUUAAGCUGCCGCGUGGCGAACGGGUGAGUAAUGUAUCGGAACGUGCCCAGUCGUGGGGGAUAACUGCUCGAAAGAGCAGCUAAUACCGCAUACGACCUGAGGGUGAAAGCGGGGGAUCGCAAGACCUCGCGCGAUUGGAGCGGCCGAUAUCAGAUUAGGUAGUUGGGGAGGUAAAGGCUCACCAAGCCGACGAUCUGUAGCUGGUCUGAGAGGACGACCAGCCACACUGGGACUGAGACACGGCCCAGACUCCUACGGGAGGCAGCAGUGGGGAAUUUUGGACAAUGGGCGCAAGCCUGAUCCAGCCAUGCCGCGUGCGGGAAGAAGGCCUUCGGGUUGUAAACCGCUUUUGUCAGGGAAGAAAAGGUUCUGGCUAAUACCUGGGACUCAUGACGGUACCUGAAGAAUAAGCACCGGCUAACUACGU